AGAGUUUGAUCCUGGCUCAGAGCGAACGCUGGCGGCGUGCUUAACACAUGCAAGUCGAGUGCGCGUUUCCGUAGCAAUACGGAGAUGGCGCACGGCGCACGGGUGCGUAACACGUGGGUAAUCUGCCCUCUGAUGGGGAAUAACUCGCCGAAAGGCGAGCUAAUACCGCAUAACAUUCCUUAAACUCCGGUUUGAGGAUUCAAAGGCGUAAGUCGUCGGAGGUGGAGCCCGCGCACGAUUAGCUAGUUGGUGAGGUAAUGGCUCACCAAGGCUAUGAUCGUUAGCUGGUCUGAGAGGAUGGCCAGCCACACUGGAACUGAGACACGGUCCAGACUCCUACGGGAGGCAGCAGUGGGGAAUCUUGCACAAUGGGCGAAAGCCUGAUGCAGCGACGCCGCGUGGGGGAUGAAGCUUCUCGGAGUGUAAACCCCUUUCGACCGGGACGAAUACCUCGCAAGAGGGGUGACGGUACCGGUAUAAGAAGCCCCGGCUAACUACGUGCCAGCAGCCGCGGUAAGACGUAGGGGGCCAGCGUUGCUCGGAAUUACUGGGUGUAAAGGGUUCGUAGGCGGUGUGGCAAGUCGGGAGUGAAAUCCCUGGGCUUAACCCAGGGGCUGCUUCUGAAACUGCCGUGCUAAGUGUGGA
rnacentral:rRNA from 1 species